rnacentral:rRNA from 1 species
UACAGAGGUGCCGAGCGUUAGGCGGAAUCACUGGGCUUAAAGCGUGUGUAGGCGGAUCGUUAAGUACCUUGUGAAAUCCCACGGCUUAACCGUGGAACUGCUGGGUAUACUGGCGAUCUUGAGCCACCUAGGGGCAACCGGAACAAAUGGUGGAGCGGUGAAAUGCGUAGAUAUCAUUUGGAACGCCAAUGGUGAAAACAGGUUGCUGGGGGUGUGCUGACGCUGAGACACGAAAGCCAGGGGAGCGAACGGG